GACGAACGCUGGCGGCGUGCCUAACACAUGCAAGUCGAACGGAAAGGCCCUGCUUUUGUUGGGUGCUCGAGUGGCGAACGGGUGAGUAACACGUGGGUAACCUGCCCUGUACUUUGGGAUAACUUCAGGAAACUGGGGCUAAUACCGCAUAGGAGCUCCUGCUGCAUGGUGGGGGUUGGAAAGUUUCGGCGGUUGGGGUUGGACUCGGGGCUUCUCAGCUUGUUGGUGGGGUAGUGGCUUACGAAGGCUUUGACGGGUAGCCGGCCUGAGAGGGUGACCGGCCACAUUGGGACUGAGAUACGGCCCAGAGUCAUACGGGAGGCAGCAGUGGGGAAUAUUGCAAAAUGGGCGGAAGCAUGAUGCAGCAACGCCGCGUGCGGGAUGACGGCCUUAGGGUUAUAAACCGCUUUAGCCUGUGACGAAGCGUGAGUGACGGUAAUGGGUAAAGAAGCAACGGCUAACUACGUG
rnacentral:rRNA from 1 species